rnacentral:rRNA from 1 species
CCUACGGGAGGCAGCAGUGAGGAAUAUUGGUCAAUGGACGGAAGUCUGAACCAGCCAAGCCGCGUGAAGGAAGACGGCUCUAUGAGUUGUAAACUUCUUUUGUACGGGGGUAAACGCAGAUACGCGUAUCUGUCUGAAUGUAUCGUAAGAAUAAGGAUCGGCUAACUCCGUGCCAGCAGCCGCGGUAAUACGGAGGAUUCAAGCGUUAUCCGGAUUUAUUGGGUUUAAAGGGUGCGUAGGCGGUCGGUUAAGUUAGUGGUGAAAUCCCGAGGCUCAACUUCGGAAUCGCCUUUGAUACUGGUCGGCUAGAGAUGAGUGGAGGUAGGCGGAAUGUGUGGUGUAGCGGUGAAAUGCUUAGAGAUCAUACAGAACUCCGAUUGCGAAGGCAGCUUACCAGCCUCACUCUGACGCUGAGGCACGAAAGCGUGGGUAGCAAACAGGAUUAGAGACCCUGGUAGUC